CUUUAUAAUCACUGUCCUCGUCAAGGACGUUUCUUUUCUACCCACCUAGGGCUUGACUCUCUACCAGGGGCCUUAUCCCCUCUCCGUCUCUGUCUCGGGAUCCUCUCCGAGGCCUCCCGUGAGGUCUCUGCUCUGUGGCCCCCAGCAGUGCUUGAGGUGCUGGGAUGUCCGCAGCCCCCAGAGAAUUGUACUCCUCCCCUCAAACCUGCCAAAACAAGUGAGACUUAGCAGUACAAGUGCCUGAGAAAAAUACAAACAAACCCGUGCAUCUUGGUUGACAGAGAGAGAGAGAGAGAGACGGUGAGAGAGG